UGACAGGAGGGGAAGUCGGGGACACGCUGCUCAGGGGAGGAUGAGGCCAGAACCAGAGGGCGGUGCUGAAGGAGAGUUACCUCAACCUUCUAUGGCAGCUGGCUUUUAGAGUGUGUGGGACCUCCUCCUGUCCAGCUCUUCACAGUGACAGCGUUCUGGCGUCAUUUCUUGCCACAAAGCCCCAUCCCUUCUCUUCUGAGACCUGCAUGCAGUUCACACCUAACAAGACAUCCUUUCCCUGGGACUAAAUCUCUUGAAAUCUGAUCCACGAACACAUCUAAACAGUCGCGCUAACAGGUAACUCAGAGAUAUGGAAAUGUAAAUGAUUCUCCAAUCAAUAAAGAUAAUUACGGUGAGAGAUAGACUGACAUGCAGUAUCUCGAGGCUUUUCGCCUUGUCUCCCGAGCUCCCCAGCGGCACCACACACACUGGUGAAUGUAUUUCCAAGGCUGUGACUGUGGCUGGGGAGAAUUGUUUCCUGCAAGAGGAGCACGAGUGACACUGCCCCGCUAACGAUGCGCGCUGCAGCUGGAGCCAAACUUCCCCAGCAUGACUCUGCUCUCUUCCUCCCUUUUAAAAGGCGACGUUAAUGUUGUCCUAUUAGCCUUGGGUUUCAGCAGACUGAACACGAACUGCUGUCAACUUCUGCACAAGUUGGAAGGAGAGAGGUUCAUCUCAUUUUUCCCCUCGGGUUGUUAGCUGUCAACAAACACCUUGUCUGCACACCUCUGGAAGGGCUGAUGGGGCAGAUCCCCACCAUUGAGUACUGAAGAUUUCCCAAGGAUUUGUGUACUUCCCAAUGUGGCCAGCUGCUAGGAUGUGUGUACAACCGUGCAGAAAAGCCUCUGAUGGGAACAGUGGAGAGUUACCAAACCCCAACACCUUUGAAUCCUGAGUGUCUUGAGCUGCACAGCCCCUCCUGCCCCUUCUGCCUGCACCCCCAUCUCCCCACGAGCUCAGCAGCCUUCCAGCUCAACCUGUGCUUGUGGCUCCUGGCAUCCUUUGUGAAGAAAACCUCAUCUCCUGUCCAGCAUUUGGCUGGAUGGUCUUCACGGGUUAGAGGAACUUUUAAACAUUCUCAACAAAGUUCAUGUUGAUUGAACUGGUGAAAUAAUUCCUGGUGCAAGCUCUAAGAAGGACCUUUUAAACUUCCGUGCUUGAAGCUCUGUCCAUCGCACGAGGCACGACAGACACUUGCAAGGUCAUCUCCCUGUCUGCAUUCAGCUCCUUUAACAGACACGUCUGACAGCUUUGAUGCAACCCAAAACCCAGCGCCUAUCUUCCUCUAUGGCAUUAGUUUAAAUAUAUGUAUGUAUCUAUAGAUAUACUUGGAGAGGAAUGAAGCUGUGACUAUGGUGGCUAAGGUCAUGCCGUUCAGGGUGGCUGAGGUCACACCAUCUGACACAUGUCAGAUGAAAGCUCAGGCAAGAAUAUUCAGUGACCGCUCCGUGCAGUUUUUCAUCCAUGUGCAGAGGGAAUAGCCACUCUCAGCAGCACCGGUCCAGGCCUCCCUGCCGGCGGGUCAGGGCAACGUGUGUUUCAAGUCAUACAUGGAAUAUCUAUUCACCUUUAACAAAUGCAGCGCGCAUGAAAGUGCCCGACUUUGCUCUCCCUUUCUUCCUGCUCACGGUUGGAUAUAAUGGAGGAAGAGAGGAGAUUGCUUCUACCCAUCCACGUUCUCCAUAUGGGAUGAGGGGUGCUCCCGAGGCUCGCUUGCCCUGAGCACAGACCUUGCUGUACUGGGCCGGCCUCUGCUUCGCAGGUGCUGGGGUCAUCCUUGGUGAUGCGCCGGGUGCUGAGCAGCGUGGUCCUGUCUUGCUCCCGGCUGCAGCACGGUCACUGCUCCGAUGUGCUCAUAGCACCACGAUAGCAACUGAUGGCACUGAGCCGCACCGCCGUGCGCACCAGGCUUGCACUAUUUCUGACUGCAAAGUACAGAUGGCUCCGGGGUGGCUUUUCUUGGCACCUCCCUGCGAAACCUAGAGAGGGCAUCUGCUGAGCACAACUGCUCCGACAGAGCCGAU
rnacentral:lncRNA from 1 species